AGACCGUGGAGGGGAAAAAGUGGAAGCAGGGUGAUGGUUCGUCUGUCCCAGUCACCCAGGAGAAAGAUCACGGGGAGGGCAGACAUGGGUGUUCGUGGUUAAGAGAGAAGGAUGCGAUUGGCUUCCGUACCAUUUGAAGGCAAAAUGAAAAUAAGAAAAUAUUAAGAACAAAAAAAGAAGACUACAGACCAGUACCCCCGAUGAACAUUGAUGCCAAAAUCCUCAACAAAAUACUAGUGAACUGAGUCCAACAGCAUAUCAAAAAGAUAAUCUACCAUGAUCAAGUGGGUUUCAUACCAGGGAAUGCAGGGAUGGUUUAACAUACUUAAGCCAAUAAUUGUGGUACACCACAUAAGCAGAAUGAAAAAUGGAAAUCACAUGAUCAUCUCAAUAGAUGCAAGAAAAGGAUUUGACAAAAUCCAGCAUCCCUUUAUGAUGAAAACCCUCAGCAAAAUUGGCAUAGAAGGGACAUACCUUAAGGUAAUAAAAGCUAUCUACCACAAAUCCACAGCCAACAUUAUACUGAAUGGGGAAAUGUUGAAAGCAUUCCCUCUGAGAACUGGAACAAGACAGGGAUGCCUACUUUCACCACUUCUAUUCAGUAUAGUACUGGAAGUCCUAGCCAGAGCAAUCAGAGAAAGAAAGAAAGCGCAUCCAAAUCGGUAAAGAGGAAGUCAAACUGUCCCUGUUAGCUGAUGAUAUGUGAUUGUAUACCUAGAAAACCCUAAAGACGUAUCCAAAAAGCUCUUAAAAUUGGUAAAUGAAUUCAGCAGAGUUUCAGGAUGCAAAGACAUCAUGACUGAGAACCCAAAAGUGAAUGCAACAAAAAAGGUUUUGCACAGCAAAAGAAAUAAUCAGCAAACAGACAACCUACAGAAUGGGAGACUGUCUUCACAAUCUGUACAUCAGACAAAGGACUAAUAUUCAGAAUCUACAAAGAAGCCAAACAAAUCAGCAAGAACAAACCAAACAAUCCCACAAAAAAGUGGGCUAAGGACAUGGAUAGACAGUUCUCAAAAGAAGGUAUACAAAUGUCUAACAAGCCUAUGGAAAAAUGCUCAACAUCACUGAUUAUCAGAGAAAUGCAAAUCAAAACCACUGUGCAAUACUACCUCACUCCUGCAAGAAUGGCCAUAAUCAAAAAUAAAAAAAUAAUAGAUGUUGACGUGGAUGCAGUGAAAAGGGAACAGUUUUACACUGUUAUUGGGAAUGGAAACUAGCGCAACCACUAUGGAAAACAGUGUGGAGAUUCCUUAAAGAACUCAAAGUAGAUCUACUGUUUGAUCCAGCAAUCCCACUACUAGGUAUCUACCCGGAGGAAAAGAAGUCAUUAUUCGAAAAAGAUACUUGCACAUGCAUGUUUAUAGCAGCACAAUUCGCAUUGCAAAAAUAUGGAACUGGCCCAAAUGCCCAUCAGCCAAUGAGUGGAUAAAGAAAAUGUGUGUGAGUGUGUGUGUGUGUGUGUGUGUGUGUGUGUGUGUGUGUGUUUAUGAAUGACAUAAUGGCAUUUGCAGCAACCUGGAUGGAAUUGGAGACUAUUAUUCUCUGUGGAGUAACUCAGGAAUGGAAAACUAAAUAGCCUAUAUUCUCACUUAUGAGUGGGAACUAAGCUAUGAGGAUGUAAAGGCAUAAGAAUGAUAUAAUGGACUUUGAGGGACUUUCAGGACUCGGGGAGUAGUGGGGAAGGGGGAGAGAUAAAAGUCUACACAUUGGGUACAGUGCACAUUGCUUGGGUGGUGGGUGUACCAGAGUCUCAGAAAUCACCACUGAAGAAUUUAUUCAUGUAACCAAGCGCCACCUGUUUUCUCUUAUAUGAAGACCAAGCUCAGUAAUGCUGUGUUUUUAUGGACCUAUAAUUGUGUCCAUGCUGCCCUGUCAUUUUACCAGUUCUUGUAUUUGAGCAGAUAAUACCAAAAAUGGUGCAAACUUACUUUUGCUACAGAUGAUGACAAUUUUAGACUAGGUUACACAUAUUUAUACAUAUAGUACCUAAGGGUAGGAGCUCAGGCAAGAGUGUAGGGAGGAGCCCAGUAAAUGUGAGAUGAAAUUCUAGAGCAGGUAAAGUCAACGUGGGGUGAAAUUCUAGACCAGGUAGAGCUCGUGGCAGGUGCUGUGUUAGGUAGCUAGUUGAAUUGGUAGGGAAAUGUUUCAGAAGGUAAGAUAACAGGUGACCACAAACUUGGUAGCUUACAGAAGUUUAUUUAAGUUCCGAAGGGCUAAAGUCCGAAAUCAAGAUGUCAGCAGGGCCACACUCCCUUCACGUGGCCUUCUCUUUUGUAUUUGUGCCUCUUCUGUCUCUUAUAAGGAUAAUUAUUGUUGGAUUUAGAGCCCACCUGAAAUGCAAGAUGAGUUCAUCUCAAGAUCCUUAACUUAAAUUUGUAAAGUUGUUUUCUAAAUAGUGCAGUCUUUACAGGGUCCAGGUAUUAGGAUGUGGAUAUAUAUUUUUUGGGGGCCACUGGUCAAAACCAGUGAAGUCCUACUUAAAAGCCUGGUAAACUAAGGGAAUGGUGAAAUAGGGAUUGAAAUAGAAGAACAACUACCUGUGUUUUUUUGUUUGUUUGUUUUUUCUGUUGCUAGGUUUUUGUUGCUAAAAACCUAGUUGUCCUGACAGAGACGCCCCUUUAAAUAAAUAGUUCCUGUGCUGAGUAUCCCCACCCUACUCUGGAGGGGUGGUUUUGUUUCUCUAAAAAUUGCCAGAUUCAUUCAGGUGGCAGAUUAAAAAUAAGUAAAUGAUUUUCUUUUUGAGUAAGUAGUAGGGAGAUCUUUGGGAAAAAUAACCUAGAAAACAGUAUAUGUAUUUUUGCCAUUCUUCUUGCAGAUAUAUAGAUUAUAUUGAUAUAUUUUAACUUUGUCAGUGUUUUCAACAUACACAGAAAAGUACAAGAUAAUAGGUCUUAGCACUCAUGUGCUCGUCACCUAAACUUAAUAAAAUUUUACAUUUUUCAUAUUUCCUUAGGAUAUAUAUUUUAAGGAAAAAUAUAUAGUAGACUAUUUUACAUAUAUAUUUUUAUAGUUUCAAAAUAUUUGGCACAAUGCUUAGACUACAUUUUUGAGAGUUAGUCAUUUUUUAUAGUAUAUACAUUAUUGGUGUUGUCAGGAGGACUUCUUUCAGAUCAAUAUUUAACUGUGGGUAUUUUGAAAUGUAAUAGUUUACAGUUCUGAAAUAGCAUGAAGUUCUUAAAAGGAAAUCUUAUUUAAAAACUUUAAUGUUAGAUAGUUUGUCAGUAAUCUCUUCUUUGAAUUAUUGCAAUAGCCUUUGUUUUUUUGUUUUAAAAAAAUUUUGAGAUAUUUAAAAACAAACAGGAAAGUACGGCAAGGAACAUGAACCAACAUACUUGCUCCAUUAAUUCCUUUUGCUUUACCAUCUUGCUUCAGGUUUUUUUAAAAUGAAAUAUUAUACAAUUGAACCCCUGAUAUUAUUUUCCUUUCUUUUUACCUAGAAGUAACAGUUAUCCUGAAUUUGUUGAGACCUCUAUUAUGUCUAUCCGUAAAAAAUAUAUAGCAUUAUAUGAUAAAUAUUAAAACUGUAUAUUGCAUAGUAUUAGACUGUAUAUUGUAUAUUAUCAUGUAAUAUUAAAACUUUAGUAUAUUAAAACCUUAUAUAAAAAGU